ACACCAUCGUCAUCACGCUCGUCUCUUAUCGCUGCGCACGGCUCUCUUCCACUUCCUCUGCCUCGCACAAGUGCCGCGAAGAGCAUCAUCGCCUCCGCCCCUGUCCGCCGCAACGAGAUGGUCAACAUGCAGAAAAAUGUGGAUGCCUUCUACGCCGAAAACAUGCCAUCCGAGACCCAGGCACGACUGUCGGCCUACAAGGACACUCUACUCGCAUUCCUUGAAGGCGUGGCUCGGUCUUACCCUGACUGCCCGGGCAUCGCCUUCAUCACGAGCGGCGGCACGACCGUACCUCUCGAGGUGAACGCCGUCCGCUUCAUCACGAACUUCAGCAGUGGCGGCCGCGGCGCGCACCUCGUCGAGGCGUUGGCAGAGCGUGGGUGGGCCUGCGUGUUGCUGCACCACCGCACCGCCAUUAUGCCCUUUCGACGCGUACUCGAUACGUUUAGCACUGAGCAGCUCUUUGCGGCCGUGGCAUCCCCGCCCGUACCCAGCGCUGCCGGCACGGACUCGGCAUCGACAGCGGGCGCCGAGUCCACGCCGGCAGCAGCGUCCAAGGCUGAGUUGCAUCGCGUCGCCGAACUCUACCACCGCACGAAGGGCCUUGUUCACUACGUCGCCUACGACACUGUCGUCGAGUACAUCUUUCUCCUUGAAGUCGUCUCACGCACGCUGUGUGGCACCGCUGCGCCACAGGUGCUGCAGCAGCGCCCGUGCUUGUUCUUCGCGGCGGCCGCAGUGUCAGACUACUACGUGCCGCUUCCCAAGAUGUCAAGGGAGAAGAUCAGUGGAGGGGAUGGUCUGACGCUGCAUCUGUCCAACGUGCCAAAGGUUCUACUGCUGCUGCGGGAAGAAUGGCUGCACCGCGCAGCGCCAGACGCGACGCAGCCGCUCGUCGUCACAUUCAAGCUCGAAACAUGUGAGGAGGCUAUGAAGCGCAAGGCGAUCGGCAACCUGCACGCGUACCGCUGCGACGCCGUCGUGGCGAACUUGCUGCAGAGCUACAAAGAGUGGGUGCUGGUCUACACGAAGAGCGGCGACGACAGCACGCCGGUGCUGGUGCGGCGGGGGGAGGCGAAGACGAUCGAAGCCGCCCUCUGUGAUUCACUUAUUUCCCUCUCGCGGCCGUGAGGAGGCGGUGCAUCUGCGAUGUGGGCGCGGUGCCCAUUGCCGUAGUGCCGCUCCAUUGUCAGGCGAUGCCCCUUUUCUCUCUGCCCGCCUGCCUGCAUACGCGUGCUUGUGUGUGUGUGUGUGUGUGUGUGUUCGACUUGAAUCCGUAUCUUCGCCCCCCUCCCUCCCUCCCUCCCUUUCUCCCUGUCGAGACUCCUCCUCUUGUCUCUCGCUCGUGCUUCCGCCACCGUCUUCCCCUCCGGAUCUUCACACGUUGAACCUUCUUCUCCCUGCACGGACGCGAAAUAAUUCUGUACGAAGAAAGAGGAAGUGAAGCAAGGAGCUCCGCGGCGGCGAAGCGCACGAGCAUGCGUGCAUGUGCUGGUGUGCCGGUUCUCUGACACUUUUACGCUCCUGGUCACCGCGGUGCUACAGGUGCGAGCGGAUGAGGUAAGUAGAGAAAGAAUGGUUGCGUAUCGCGUGCGGUGUGGAAGGCGGCAUGUGCACACGUGCACGUGGCGCACCAACCGAAGAGUCUGCUUCGCCCCAUAGACGGCGUGGAAGGAACGGAAAGGCGCACACGCCGGUCACCCAC
rnacentral:misc_RNA from 1 species